rnacentral:lncRNA from 1 species
GGAGGCGGCACGGCCUCCUCGUGCUAAAAUUCUCUUCCUCCCUACCAGGAGUCGGGCGCCGUGCGGGUGUCCUCUGUCCGUCUCUACGGAGACAUGGUGCAGGCCGUGGUCUGGUGCCACCAGAGGAAAAUGAAGGGGACGGCGCGCAGGGGUCUGGUCCCGCUGCUCUUUCGGAUGAGAGAUGAGAACCAGGACGUGGCCCAGGUACAGUUUCCGUCCCACCAAGGGCAUGGUGACACUGUUUGGGUGCUCUGGGUGCCAGGGCCCAUGGCUGCUGCUCCUACAGCCUGGGCUCAGAGUUCUGCCACCGGCCGCCUGGGCGUCGAGGGCCCGGGACAGAGCCAGCUGGGAGCCCAGCGUCAUGCUGGGGAUGGCCGUGGAGGGGCUGCUGGCUCCGUGUCUCUGUGUGGCCAUCUUGCACAGCCCGUUUUCUGUCCCCCUUCCCACAGCGCGCUGGGAAAGGCUCCCGGCCCUGCCAAGAGGAGGGCAGUGCCGGGUCUCCUUCCUGGGGCCAUGGUGCCAUCUGCCAGCUUCUGCUUCCCUGCAGGCCGCCGGGAGAGCCAUUGUACAAACGGCAAAUCUCCUGCGCUGGAACGACCUCCGGCAGCUGGCUGAGAAAGGGGAGACAUGGAGGAUCGCGGAGUGCUUGCUGCGGCGGGACCAGAGCAGGGCAGAGGAAUACCUGCAGGAGAGCCAGCCUUACCUGCAGGACCCUCAGGCGGCCUUGCGAGAGGAGGCCGUGAGGUUCAUUGGGCUUGCUGCGCGCUAUUCAAGGGACCAGAGGGAGGAGAAGCUAUAGGACAUCAUCAGGGCCCUCGUGCCUUUGGCCAGCGACGCAGAGAGCUCGGUCCAAAGCUUGGCAGCUCAGACCACAUUGAUCCUCGGGACAACCACGAGGACAGCGACAUCUCGGCGGCGCCUGCGAGCGCUGCGCUGUCUGUUCUGCUGAGCUGCAGCACUCCUCUGACAGCUCCGUCCCUCAGAGGAGCUCAGCAAACCCAGUGCCGUGGUGCCCUUCACGCUGGGACGUCCCUGCCCGUGCUCAGCAGGCACUGCCAUUCCUGGCCUCUGCUCCUGGCUGCAGGAUGUGCAUCCCUCUGCACUGCCGAGGCCAUGGCUGUCCAACCUGUUGUCUGGGCUGGGCUUCACUGAGUGAAGAGGAAUUGUCUCCGGCCACAUGUAUGUGCAUAUAUUUAACAUAUGGAAGUCACAGAUCUUCUUUUUGUAUCUAUCCGAGUCUUUAAUAAAAUAUUUUAAAUUGUAUGGGAGCA